GACGAACCGUGCGAACGUUAUUCGGAAUCACUGGGCUUAAAGGGCGCGUAGGCGGGUUCGUAAGUCUGUGGUGAAAGCCCCCAGCUUAACUGGGGAAGUGCCAUGGAUACUGCGAAUCUUGAGGAGGGUAGGGGCAUCUGGAACACUGGGUGGAGCGGUGAAAUGCGUUGAUAUCCAGUGGAACUCCGGUGGCGAAGGCGAGGUGCUGGACCCCAUCUGACGCUGAGGCGCGAAAGCCAGGGAGCGAACGGG
rnacentral:rRNA from 1 species